AGUCAUUCUCGUCAUCUUUUCCCUUCACAGAAAUACAAAGAAGAAAGGAAAAAAAUUGUGGUUUUCUUCUUCCAUGGCCAUUUAUCAUCUAAGGAAAAUAGUUGAGAGAAGGUCGGAUUUUCGAGGGUUAAAGGCGAGAAUGUUCGUCGAAUCUGUUUGUGCUAGCAUAAUUUGAUUUUCUUACAUAUAAAUUUUAAGUAAUUAGCUUUUUCAAAUAUAAAUCAUAGAUAAUAGAAUGAGUAUUGAAAUAUCAUGAAUAUAUAUGCAUGAGUAUAUAUUCUAUGUUAUAAUGAAAAACUAUGGAAAGUUAGACAAUAAUAUGAAUGUUUGAUGUAAAUGUAUUAUAAUGCAUGAAUGACAUGUGAAAGAAUGAAAAUGUAAUAGAAGUAAUAUGAAAGGUUAUGUAAUGAUUAGUAUUAUGUGAACUAUUGCUUGGUAAUAUUGUAAAUGCCCUAUUAAACGAUCUCCGAUAGAGUCGUUUAUAGUUGGCAUGUCAUAGGAUUAGUUAUAUGGCGAUUUCUUUGGUUUAUACUAAUGAGGUGCGGAGCUCAUAUUACUUUGGACGUACCGAUGAAGUGCGGAGAACACAUUACUUCGGUUUAUACCGUUGAGGCGUGAAACGCAUAUUACUUUGGACAUACCAAUGAUGCAUUAGGUGCAAUUUAUAUUGGUUUGAUGAUGAGAUGAUCUAUGUACCCGUCUUGAGUCAAUGUUCAGUUGAUAAGGGUUGUAAACUAUUUUACAUGAUUGAUUAUUUUAAUUGAUAUGGGAAAAAUGAAUAAAUCAUGUUGAUUUGGUGAAUUGAAUGUAAUGAAUAAUAGCAUGUGAAUGACCAUGCGGAUUGAGUGCGAUGAGCCUUGAGGGCCAAUAAUGUUAUGAAACUAGUUAAGCUACUCGAUUUGGUGUAACUGAGAUAUGGAUAUUGAUUUGAAAAUGUCAAAAGUUAUAAAUAA